UACGUAGGGGGCUAGCGUUGUCCGGAAUCAUUGGGCGUAAAGAGCGUGUAGGCGGCCCGGUAAGUCCGUUGUGAAAACUGGAGGCUUAACCUCCAGCUGUCGAUGGAAACCAUCUGGCUAGAGUCCGGAAGAGGAGAGUGGAAUUCCUGGUGUAGCGGUGAAAUGCGCAGAUAUCAGGAAGAACACCCGUGGCGAAGGCGGCUCUCUGGGACGGUACUGACGCUGAGACGCGAAAGCGUGGGGAGCGAACAGG
rnacentral:rRNA from 1 species